rnacentral:rRNA from 1 species
GAACGAGAGCUUAACCUGCUAAUUAGCGGUAAGUACACUAUAUUUUUAUUUGAAAUUGAAUAUAGGUAAUUAUACAUGUUUAUUCAGUGUUCAAAUUAGGAUAUUUUUUUAUUAAAAUAUUCUUUUCCCUGUUCUACUAUAAUAAUUUGUUUUUUACCUCUAUUUCUCUCUUCCUUUUAACGAAUGUACUUGUGUAUUAAAUAAAGACUUCUUAGAGGAAACAGAUGUGUAUCUAACACAAGGAAGUUUAAGGACAACAACAGGUCUGUGAUGUCCUUAGAUAAACUAGGCUCGACGCGUGCUACAAUGAUAUAUAUAACAAGUUGUUAAAAAUGUACUUAUAAAUAAGUGUGUACAGUUUUUCCUGUACUGAAAAGUAUAGGUAAUCUUUAUCAGU